AGUUUUAGCGACUUUUGAUAUUGAAUCUAACGACUCUGGUUUUUUCUAGAGUUGGCGACACUGGCAAGUGCUGGUCAGUGGUCACGUGGUGUCAAUACGAGUUAGUGGCGGUGUGUGUACUGACUUCAAUUGUGCGUUAUUGCUGCUACCACUACUAUGCUGUGCCUACGUGGUCUCAACUGCUUCCGACACCAUUUGACAUCUAGCAACUCUGAGGCUUCAUCUUUGCUGCGCUGCACAAAUCUCAUUCUCAGCAGAAGCGUCAGCUGCCUUGAUAAGGUUUUGCUCCUCUGUGACGAUCUCAGGUACUGUACACAGAACCCCGGUCACUGCCAGACACCUGCCAAGUCUGCCACAGUGGUGAGUAGUCAGUUCAAUUUGUAACUCGAGUAAUCAGUGCACCAUCUCAGCUGCUAGCAUUUUUAUUUAUUUAUUUCUUGUCAGAAGCGUUCGUACAUCGAAGAGCUACACAAUAACUAAGCAACAUGCAUUGUAAUAAUUGAAACAGAAGUAUACCAUAAGUUACAUGACACUACAUUCGGUCUCCACCGUGUAGCCCCGUCUUUGUAUGUCGGAUCUACAACAUGUGACACUUGCUUCGUAGUCAGUCGAGUGUCUUCGGAGAGCCCAGUUGUCUUUGUGGCCAGGGGUUGCUCUCUCUCUCGUCCGGUACCAGCCUUCCAUUGUUGGCUCCUGGUGCACAACUCCUGAAGUAUUGUGGUUCAUGCUUAGAUGGUUCUGCAAGUGCCUCAGUUGUUCCCAGGAAGUCCUUCCUUGACUUGAGUCUUGGUUGUGCUGGCUGGUAUCCAAACAAGUGGUAGGCUGCAGAUGAUGUGGGUUCAGUCGUUGUUCUCUUCUGCCAAAAGCCUUCGUAUGCCUGGGGGUGCUAUUCCAGCAAGAUAGUACUGCUUCUCCAGAAGUGUGGGGUGGAGACAGCCUGUGACUGAGUUGUAUUUUUUGUUAAGAGCUUCAUCCACAGUUCUUAGAAUGGCAAGACGGAUAUGACACUGGGCAAGCGUGUGUUGUGCCACUGAGUACUAAGAGGCCAAUGCAGAUGUUUUUAGUCUCUCUUCUCUUGUGAGCUGCUCCUGUUGUGAAAUUCAGUACCACAUUGUUUUUUGCACCCAUUUUCUGCUCAGUAUUUAGGAAUUCUUUCUUAUAGGUCAGUGCUUGGUCCAAAGAGACCCAGAGAUAUGUAAGGGCUGUGCAAUUUUCCUCCCCAGUUAGUGUGCAAAGGCUUCUAGUGGCCUCCUUGUUCUUCACGUAGAGUAGUGUCAGCUGCUUGUCUUGUAGUAGGUGGACAGUAAUUUAGGGCUUUUGACAGUGUUAACUUGAUGCAUUCAAAUUCCCUGAGCUGUGAUGGCGUGAUCAUCUGCAGAAGUGAAACUUUGGGUUUCUUAUAGUAGGGGCUAGUCUUUUCUAUAUAUGAGUGGUUCAGAGCACAAGUGGCGUAACUCCACCGAGGAUAGGUUUGAGUAAGAGGAGCAUUCAUUAAGAAACGUACACAAAAUUAUUAAUGUUAAUAAUUUCUGUACUGAUGAAUACAGGAUAAUAUGCACUAAAAUCUAUCCAAAAAAUAUUUUAACAAAACAUACAGGAAAUGUGUAGGAAAUGACUUGCUGAACAAAAAAAGAAAGGAGUUACUUAGUUUGUGCACUGAAUGCAUUACCAGUCAGCCACUGUAACUUCCAGUACAUUGUGUGAAUACAGGUUUGUAGUUUUCCUUGUCCGAAAUCUGGUCCCAGGAAUCCGAACGUCGAGUAGACACCUUCAUAGGCAAGUCCUUGAAGAAUGGAUGAUACGCAGGAGGAAUGAAUUUUAGAACAUCAAGCAUGCCCUUCUUGUCUCGUGCAGUCUCCCUCGUGUCACUGAUGCAAGGCUUUGAGUAGGUCUGCCUAAUGUAUGCUUACAAAAAUCCACCUCAUGAAAUUCUUCACUUUGACGGAAACUUGAUUUAAACCUCAAGGAAAAUGGCACUGCCCAUUCAAAUUGCAUCCAUCUGACUUGCAGCCAUUUUAACGGAUGCCCAUCAAUAGCAUUUUGUUUUUACAUCUUUGGAUAAUACAGUAUUUACCCAAUCACCAGCUGAGUAAAUAUAUUUUUUUGCAACUGGCUAAUUCAAUCAGACCAAAGUGUGCAUCAUUAAUUAGGUAGCUAUGGCCAGGUAUCAUAAAUUUGUGGUUAUUGCUUUGUUUCAUGUCUGGGUCUUGCACUAAUUUCAUCAAGGAAACAUACAUGUUACAAUUAAAGUUCUGCCCUGUACAUGGAUCACAAUACACAGUAACUACUUUAUACAUCUAUGUAUUCCUUAAGGUGUCUCACAACACAGGACACAUCAUCUUGGGAACCUCGAUCUCCCCACUUUGUUCAUCCCACAUCUACAUGUAUCUGUUUCCGUCAUUGAAAGAAUGGCAUCCCAGACUAUACACACAUAAAUUUCUCUUAUAGUAGGCAAUAGAUGCCUGAAAUUUUGGAAAGGGCAGUGUCUCUUGUAAGUAAAACGUUCACAUGUGGUGGUUACUAGAUACUCCAUUUCUGCCUUGUUUCACCAACUUGCUUGCUUCUUCAGCCAGUGCUAGAUGUUCGCCCUUCUUGUUAUGCAGCCUAUGUCUCCUCUGUACAUCAUCCUGAGUUGCAGUCUCCAAUUGUAGUUAAUUGCAUACUUUACUAGUAUCCUUGGAUGGAGGCUUGAAGUGUAGAUUAAAUUUUGAAAUGAAAACAUGAUAGUAAUAUUUUGCUUUCGCUGGUUCUUUGCCAGUGUUCCUUCACUGUUGAAUAUAGUGUUUCUACAUUUUUCUCACUGUGAGACCUCAGCUGAGAUAUCGUCAAUUGGGAUUUUCCUUUCUGGUAUGAUGAUUCUGGUAAGAUGGAAACAAGUUGAUAUGGUCUUGAACACUGCUGUUGUCUAUUUUAUUUCCAGCUGUUUUUUCCUCCUUGUGAAUCAGGAACAGCAAACACUCCCUGCUUUCUUAUACACCUGUAUAAUCUCCAUUUAUCUGCAGUGACCCUAAGAAGUACUUCUUGUGCACCUGUAUACUAGUAUUAUUUCCUACCCUAAGAAAGUAUUUCUGUGUGACUGCUUUUGGAGAAUGAGAUCCAUCCUUCCAGUUUUUUCUUUGUGGUGAGUUUGACUGAACAAGUCCCCAAAUAUACACAUUCUGUCUGGAGUAGUCUGCUAAUUUCCAAACAUUUUUGGAUAUUUCUUUCCUCUUACUUGCCUCAAUUUUUGCAUAACAUUCCCUCCUGUGGUUACAGUCCUCGUCCACAAAUAUCUUUUCUAAAACAUUCUUUCCACCAUGAGAUACAUGAGAUUGCCCGAUGUUCGUGUUAUUCUUACGGGUGUUAAGUUUCCACGCGUUGGGAGUUCACGUCCUUUUACGUACCCUGUGCACUACUUCAGAAUCUAAAAUUAUGAUAUAAAAGUUAUGUCAAAUACUUGUUUUGUGCUACAGUGCAGUUAUUGUAUGUUCAUAGUAUACACGAUACGUAAUUGUUAUAAACUGCACUUCUGUUCAGAUGUAUGUGUAAUGGUAAAAUGCAGCACCCUUAGACAGGUUAGGUUAGAAAUAGUGUCUUAUUCAUUUUGGCUACAUAUAGAAUAUUGUUAAUCAUUAUUGGCACGUAUUACCUAUCAUAGUAUCAUUCGUAAGAACAUUUUCCUCUUCAUCUGGUGGAUAUUCUGAACAACACUCCUUAAUAUGGUCACUACAAGAACCUUCAGAUUCAGUCUUCUACUAAUGUUCGUGGACACACAUACAUUGUGCUCUGAACAAAGGUGGGAAAUGGUUAAAUCUGGUCAUAUCGAGUUGGCUUCCUUGGCACGGAAACAACUUUUCUUCUUUUGGGUUUAUUGUCUUCUUCUCCUAAGCUGUCAGUGAUCUCCUGUUCGUCCAAGGUUAUUUCUUUGAAGAGUUGUGAGGACCCUCUGACAUGAGAACCCUUUACCAGUACAUUGGCCACAUUGUCUGAAGUUCAUUAGGGACAGUCUGUUAGACUUUGG